GACGAACGCUGGCGGCGUGCUUAACACAUGCAAGUCGAACGGUGAAGCUCCAGCUUGCUGGAGUGGAUCAGUGGCGAACGGGUGAGUAACACGUGAGCAACCUGCCCCUGACUCUGGAAUAAGCGCUGGAAACGGCGUCUAAUACUGGAUACGAGAAGGGUCCGCAUGGGCACUUUCUGGAAAGUUUUUCGGUUGGGGAUGGGCUCGCGGCCUAUCAGCUUGUUGGGGAGGUAAUGGCUCACCAAGGCGACGACGGGUAGCCGGCCUGAGAGGGCGCCCGGCCCCACUGGGACUGAGACACGGCCCAGACUCCUACGGGAGGCAGCAGUGGGGAAUAUUGCACAAUGGGCGAAAGCCUGAUGCAGCGACGCCGCGUGAGGGAUGACGGCCUUCGGGUUGUAAACCUCUUUCAGCAGGGAAGAAGCGAAAGUGACGGUACCUGCAGAAGAAGCACCGGCUAACUACGUG
rnacentral:rRNA from 1 species